rnacentral:rRNA from 1 species
GACGAACGCUGGCGGCGUGCUUAACACAUGCAAGUCGAGCGGUAAGGCCCCUUCGGGGGUACACGAGCGGCGAACGGGUGAGUAACACGUGGGUGACCUGCCCUCAGCUCUGGGAUAAGCCUGGGAAACUGGGUCUAAUACCGGAUAUGACUCCAUGACGCAUGUCGUGGGGUGGAAAGCCUUGUGCGGCUGGGGAUGGGCCCGCGGCCUAUCAGCUUGUUGGUGGGGNGAUGGCCUACCAAGGCGACGACGGGUAGCCGGCCUGAGAGGGCGGUCGGUCACACUGACACUGACAUACGGGUCAGACUCCUACGGGAGGCAGCAGUCGGAAUUUUGGGCAAUGGGCGAAAGCCUGACCCAGCAACGCCGCGUGAAGGAUGAAAUCCCUCGGGAUGUAAACUUCGCAAGAUUAGGGAAGAAUUAGUAGGGGUUAAUACCCUCUAUGAUGACGUACCUUUUGUAAGCUCCGGCUAACUCCGUGCCAGCAGCCGCCGC